UUUCCUUUAAAUUUUUGUACAUCUGAGUCAGUCUGCACUGUUUCUGCUGAGUGUCUUGAGACAACUUCACUGGGAUAAUCUGAGUUGGACCUUCAUGCGAUAAGGUCUGGGAGACAAAGUGAUCCCAUAAAGUGGAGUGAAGUCUGGUUCUCCUGCAUCUUCAGGCCAGAAGAACUUAAACUUCCUCAACAGAGUCACCAUGAUGAGGAAGAGCUCCAUACGAGCCAGACCUUCUCCAAGACACAUCCGAGGA